rnacentral:ncRNA from 1 species
CCCCCCCCUCUAAUGCGCAAGCUUACAUUAUCACAUUAUUAACAGACUGCAGCUAAUACUCAAACCCUAACAAGAUCUAGUAUUAAACUCACCCUGUUACCCCAACUCAGGAGCGCCUAUAAGAAAGAUUAAAAUCUGCGAAAGGAACUAGGCAAACUAUAGGGCCCGACUGUUUACCAAAAACAUAGCCUUCAGCCAACCAAGUAUUGAAGGUGAUGCCUGCCCAGUGACUUUGUUUAACGGCCGCGGUAUCCUAACCGUGCAAAGGUAGCGCAAUCAAUUGUCUCAUAAAUCGAGACCUGUAUGAACGGCUAAACGAGGUCCUAGCUGUCUCCCGCAGAUAAUCAGUGAAAUUGAUCUUCCCGUGCAAAAGCGAGAAUAAAUACAUAAGACGAGAAGACCCUGUGGAACUUAAAAAUCAGUAGUCACCUCUACGCCAACCUCACCCUACCAGGGCUCCCGCUACUAGAAUGCUGACUAACAUUUUUUGGUUGGGGCAACCUUGGAGAAAAGCAAAUCCUCCAAAAACAAGACCACCCCUCUUAACUGAGAACAACCCCUCGACGUGCUAACAGUAACCAGACCCAAUACGAUUGAUCAAUGGACCAAGCUACCCCAGGGAUAACAGCGCAAUCUCCUCCAAGAGCCCAUAUCGACAAGGAGGUUUACGACCUCGAUGUUGGAUCAGGACACCCUAAUGGUGCAGCCGCUAUUAAGGGUUCGUUUGUUCAACGAUUAACAGUCCUACGUGAUCUGAGUUCAGACCGGAGCAAUCCAGGUCGGUUUCUAUCUAUGAUAAACUUUUCCUAGUACGAAAGGACCGGAAAAGUAAGGCCAAUACUAUAGGCACGCCUUCCCUUUAAGUAGUGAACUCAACUAAACUACCAAAAGAUUACCCGCCCGCCCCGCCCCAGAAAAGGGCCGCUAGCGUGGCAGAGCCCGGCAAGUGCAAAAGGCUUAAGCCC